UGGAUAUACCCAUUGAUUAAGAGGGUACGGGUAGGGUAGUAUCGCAGUUACCCGUUCCUCCCCGUGAACAAAUCCAGAUUCGCAACCCCUGCCGCCGCCGUCGCCGUCGCCAUGGGCGAGUCGUGAGGGAUCUCCUGCUGCUGUCGAGGGCGGAGCCGAGUCGUGAGGCUUCUCCCGCUGCUGUCGAGGUCGGAGCCGACGCUGGCGCCGAAUCCUAAAUUGCGGACAUCAUCGAUCUGUGCGGCGACACAGGGCCGCAACCCAUCCAACUCCGCCUAGAGGUCAGUCAACGGACUCUGCAGAGCGGCUCUUGUGCUUCUUGUCCCGUUACUAGCUUAAUGGAAACUCAUGGGAUGGGCUCUCAUGGGGCUGUUGGAAGCUCUGAUGGAACACUAGAGAGGGAAAAUAGCUCACUUAACAUAUACUCUGAAGGGAUCUGUCCGAAGUAAGACUUCUUUUUCACACAAAACUGCCUUUUUUAUGCAAUCACUUAUAUAUCAGUUCCUAGCAUAUAGUGGUUUUCCUAUACACCACUGAUUAAGUCUUUGUAUUACUUGUUUAGUUUGAUACAACCAAAUUUAGAGGAAGCUGUUAGUGCAGAAAGUUUGCAUGCUAAUAGAAAACUGAGGUCGAGUGUUUGGAAAGAGUUUGAGCUAACUAUGCUAGAUGAUGGUACUUAUAAAGCAAUAUGCAAGCACUGUAAGAAAGAUUUUGUUGCUAGUAAUAGAGCUGGGACAAGCCACUUGAAGUACCACAUUGGAGUCUGUCCUAAGAUUCAGUUAUCAAAGAGAAGAAAGUAUGGUAGUCCAAAGUUGGAUAUUCCUACCACACGGGUGAGCAUAUUGGGAAAGAAAUCAUCAGCAGGCUAUAUCCUUGCAAUCUAGAUAGAAAAAUAUUUUCGUUUACACUAGACAAUUGUAGUGUGAACAAUGUUGUGGUUCGAGAUGUGAAGAAAUUUCUGUUGUCAAAGAAAGCAUUGCAUUUGCAUGGAAAUCUCUUUCAUAUUCGGUGCGCUGCUCAUGUGCUGAAUUUAAUUGUCCAAGAUGGUUUGAGUGUCAUUUCUUCAGCUAUAGGGAAUAUUCGAGAAACUGUCAAGUAUGUAAAUGGAUCCACAUCAAGAAAAGGAAAAAAAAUUAUGAUUGGCUUAAGGGUUGCAAACCAGCCGAGCCUAGGGGUGUUGAAGUUGACAUACCUACUUGCUGAUGGUGUGGAGCAGAGUACAAACGUUAUUUUUUCUGUUAUCAUGUACUCUACUAAUGGGAUCAAAGGAUUGGCCAAUGCUCAUAUAAAGAUUGUUGUACAUCUCCAGAUGUCCGGUUUUACAUCUACCAGUGUUCCCAGCGAUCUUAGUCUGUUGUUAUCGAUCCCUAUGAAGGUGUAUAUUGACAUGAGUGUCUUUGUAAUAUUUCCUGAUUAUUUUAUUAUAUAAGAUCAUUGUAUUAUCAGAAUUUGUUAGUAAUCAGUCUCUAGUGUUAGUGAUAA